GGAGUUGGCCGGACAGUCGCGCUCACCCGCAUGCGGGUGGGGGAGGAAAGUCCGGGCUCCACAGGGCAGGGUGCCAGGUAACGCCUGGGGGGCGCGAGUCCACGGAAAGUGCCACAGAAAAGAUACCGCCUCACUCCCCUCGGGGCGCGAGGUAAGGGUGAAAUGGUGCGGUAAGAGCGCACCGCGCUGACGGCAACGCCAGUGGCAGGGUAAACCCCACCCGGAGCAAGACCAAAUAGAGGAACGCGCAGAGCUGGCUCUGCGGCGCGCGGCCCGCGCGUGUUCCCGGGUCGGUCGCUUGAGGUAUCCGGCGACGGAUAUCCUAGAUGAAUGACUGUCCAUGACAGAACCCGGCUUACAGGCCGACUCCCACC
rnacentral:RNase_P_RNA from 1 species